rnacentral:rRNA from 1 species
AUUGAACGCUGGCGGCAGGCUUAACACAUGCAAGUCGAGCGGAGAUGAGGUGCUUGCACCUUAUCUUAGCGGCGGACGGGUGAGUAAUGCUUAGGAAUCUGCCUAUUAGUGGGGGACAACAUUCCGAAAGGAAUGCUAAUACCGCAUACGCCCUACGGGGGAAAGCAGGGGAUCUUCGGACCUUGCGCUAAUAGAUGAGCCUAAGUCGGAUUAGCUAGUUGGUGGGGUAAAGGCCUACCAAGGCGACGAUCUGUAGCGGGUCUGAGAGGAUGAUCCGACACACUGGGACUGAGACACGGCCCAGACUCCUACGGGAGGCAGCAGUGGGGAAUAUUGGACAAUGGGCGGAAGCCUGAUCCAGCCAUGCCGCGUGUGUGAAGAAGGCCUUUUGGUUGUAAAGCACUUUAAGCGAGGAGGAGGCUACCUGGAUUAAUACUCUAGGAUAGUGGACGUUACUCGCAGAAUAAGCACUGGCUAACUCUGUGUCAGCCGCCGCGGUAAUAC